CAAACGGGUGAGUAACACGUAAACAACCUGCCUUCAGGAUGGGGACAACAGACGGAAACGACUGCUAAUACCGAAUAAGUUCCAAGGGCCGCAUGGCCCAUGGAAGAAAAGGUGGCCUCUACCUGUAAGCUAUCGCCUGAAGAGGGGUUUGCGUCUGAUUAGCUGGUUGGAGGGGUAACGGCCCACCAAGACUACGAUGGAUAGGGGUUCUGAGAGGAAGGUCCCCCACAUUGGAACUGAGACACGGUCCAA
rnacentral:rRNA from 1 species